CUGAAGGGCAGGUGAGCUUGGAAGCUGAACCCCAGAAGGGGAGUUAGCGAAGGGAGGUGAGUGGGGAAGAUCUCCCUAGCUGCAACAGAGGAAGAAGAGGAGGAAGAAGCCCAGAAGCUUGUCCACUUCACCCCACAGGCCCCUCUCCAUAGACACUGGACUGCAUCUUCCAUCCUCCCCAGCCAAUGCCUCCUUCAGAGGGAUCCUAUUUGGGAAAGGGGUCCCAAAGUGAAGGAGGAAGAAGACAGAGCCAUGGACGAAGGGAGAGAGAAGGGCGAGGAGAAAACGAGAGGCAGAUGUGCUCUUACUGUAAUAAUCUCUCCACCACGGCUUUCUGAGCCUGACCAGAAUAACAGAAGGGACCUUGGAGGUCUUCUAGUCCAACCCCCUGCUCAAGCAGGAGACUCUACCAUUUCAGACUGAUGGUUGUCCAGUCUCUUCUUGAAUGAUGGAGCACAACUU